rnacentral:rRNA from 1 species
UUCCAGGAAAAGCCUCUAAGCUUCAGAUUGUAAGGAAUCGUACCCCAAACCGACACAGGUGGUCGGGUAGAGAAUACCAAGGCGCUUGAGAGAACUCGGGUGAAGGAACUAGGCAAAAUGGUACCGUAACUUCGGGAGAAGGUACGCUCUCGACGGUGAAGUCCCUCGCGGAUGGAGCUAUUGAGAGUCGCAGAUACCAGGUGGCUGCAACUGUUUAUUAAAAACACAGCACUGUGCAAAAUCGUAAGAUGACGUAUACGGUGUGACGCCUGCCCGGUGCCGGAAGGUUAAUUGAUGGGGUUAGACUUCGGUCGAAGCUCUUGAUCGAAGCCCCGGUAAACGGCGGCCGUAACUAUAACGGUCCUAAGGUAGCGAAAUUCCUUGUCGGGUAAGUUCCGACCUGCACGAAUGGCGUAAUGAUGGCCACGCUGUCUCCACCCGAGACUCAGUGAAAUUGAAAUCGCUGUGAAGAUGCAGUGUACCCGCGGCUAGACGGAAAGACCCCGUGAACCUUUACUACAGCUUGGCACUGAACAUUGACCCUACAUGUGUAGGAUAGGUGGGAGGCUUUGAAGCACGUACGCCAGUAUGUGUGGAGCCGUCCUUGAAAUACCACCCUUGUAGUGUUGAUGUUCUAACGUCGACCCCUUAUCGGGGUUGCGGACAGUGCCUGGUGGGUAGUUUGACUGGGGCGGUCUCCUCCCAAAGAGUAACGGAGGAGCACGAAGGUGGGCUAAUCACGGUUGGACAUCGUGAGGUUAGUGCAAUGGCAUAAGCCCGCUUGACUGCGAGAAUGACAAUUCGAGCAGGUGCGAAAGCAGGUCAUAGUGAUCCGGUGGUUCUGAAUGGAAGGGCCAUCGCUCAACGGAUAAAAGGUACUCCGGGGAUAACAGGCUGAUACCGCCCAAGAGUUCAUAUCGACGGCGGUGUUUGGCACCUCGAUGUCGGCUCAUCACAUCCUGGGGCUGAAGUCGGUCCCAAGGGUAUGGCUGUUCGCCAUUUAAAGUGGUACGCGAGCUGGGUUUAGAACGUCGUGAGACAGUUCGGUCCCUAUCUGCCGUGGGCGUUGGAAGAUUGAAGGGGGCUGCUCCUAGUACGAGAGGACCGGAGUGGACGAACCUCUGGUGUUCGGGUUGUGUCGCCAGACGCAUUGCCCGGUAGCUAAGUUCGGAAUCGAUAACCGCUGAAAGCAUCUAAGCGGGAAGCGAGCCCUGAGAUGAGUCUUCCCUGAUACUUUAAGUAUCCUAAAGGGUUGUCGGAGACUACGACGUUGAUAGGUCAGGUGUGUAAGUGCUGUGAGGCAUUGAGCUAACUGAUACUAAUUGCCCGUGAGGCUUAACCAU